UCUGCCGGUCCCGCAGUUUCAGCUGCUGCUGCUGCAUUUGCUCUGCAUCCAGGUUCCGCUGGGCCUGCUCCAUGUCAGCUGAGGAGGAAAGCAAAGCGUGCCUGCCCCGGGCCAAAAGGUGAGAGGGGACAGAAGUGACGCUGGAGUCAGUGGGGAGUCUCCACCUCUGUGCAGGCUCACAGCACUGUCUUGUGUCGAGAGCCCUCGCCCUUACCGCAAAUGCCCAGGUCACGAGCCCAGGUCGGAAUGUCACCUCUUCUCCCCACGACACGGAGUCCAGCUCCUGCCAAAAGACCCCAGGGGGAGCAGCAUCAAAGUGCCCCUGUCACUGUGAGAAAAUGUAAGGUGACUUGUUCCUCCUGCCCUUCCUGCUCAGGUUUUUCCCUUUUAUUAGAGGUUUGGGAGGUGAGUCAGGGAGCUGCGGGGUGAGGAUGGAGCUGGGGAGGAAUCGGCAGCUAAGGAAAAGGCAAACCAGUUCCAGGCACAGGUGAAUCACUUGCUAGUGAAAAUACAUCUUAUUCUCUGGGAGGCAUGCGUGGAUGGGCUGGGAGUGAGCUGCAGCUUGACUCCAUCAGAAAACUGUGGAGUCAAGAAAAAAAAACAAGGCAAGGCAAGGCAAGGCUGCUUUUCCAGUAAAUGAGGUGAUACAUUGCAAGGGAGCAGCCUGCAGCCGGCAAAGCUCCAGCAGCCCGUGGUCCUGUGGCUCCCUUAAAAGGGGAGAUUUUAGCCUGGGACAGCAGGGAGACAGAAAAGCCAUAAACACCCUCAGAGGAAUGUGGCUGCCGAGAAACGGGAAUCUCCGCAUGCGAGGCGAGGUGGGGGGAGCCUGGAUGGGGUUUGCACCACCUCUCCAUGCCUGGAGCCCGCCGGUUCCUUGGCCAUGCCCUGUCCCGAGGGAAGACCCCUGUCCUAGUGCUAACAGUCCCUGUGUGGUGCUGGGAGAGGCUCCUGCCAAGCCCCGGGGGUGUCAUGUCCCCAUGUCCUCGGGCCCCACGCCAUACAGACAUUCCUGAUUGCCAGCUGCUGGCACGAGAGCAGGUAGAGCUGGGAGGUGCUGUGCAGGCAGCAGGACACCAGCCUCGGCCCAAAGAAGGAGCAGGCAGGGCUGGUAGAGGGUGCCUGUCCCAGAGGAAUUUCCGCUUCGUCCUAUCCCACUUCUUUACGUGCAGCUGAGCUAUUCUGCACAGACUUUGCCCUUAGUGCCAUGGAGCGACUCUGAGUGUCCUGGGGCCUCAUGCAGGUUCUUGGGAAGAGCCCUUGGGGCUGGCUUGUCCCUGCAGGUAGCUGUGGGCAUGUGGUGAUACCUCUGGGCCAGGCUCUCCCUGAGUGUCCCAGGCUGGUGGCAAAUGGAAUGUGCAUCAGUAGCCUGACUGAAAUGACCAUGCUGUUUGCUUUUCUUCCAGGACUGAUGAAGCUGCAGCACGUGGCACUCAUCUCUAAAUAAAUGCUGUAGU